CAACGGAUAUCUCGGCUCUCGCAUCGAUGAAGAACGUAGCGAAAUGCGAUACUUGGUGUGAAUUGCAGAAUCCCGUGAACCAUCGAAUCUUUGAACGCAAGUUGCGCCCGAAGCCUUCGGGCCGAGGGCACGCCUGCCUGGGCGUCACGCAUCGCGUCGCCCCCCCCCCACCCCGCUCG
rnacentral:rRNA from 1 species